rnacentral:rRNA from 1 species
GAUGAACGCUGGCGGCGUGCCUAAUACAUGCAAGUCGAGCGAACAGACGAGGAGCUUGCUCCUCUGACGUUAGCGGCGGACGGGUGAGUAACACGUGGAUAACCUACCUAUAAGACUGGGAUAACUUCGGGAAACCGGAGCUAAUACCGGAUAAUAUAUUGAACCGUAUGGUUCAAUAGUGAAAGACGGUUUUGCUGUCACUUAUAGAUGGAUCCGCGCCGCAUUAGCUAGUUGGUAAGGUAACGGCUUACCAAGGCAACGAUGCGUAGCCGACCUGAGAGGGUGAUCGGCCACACUGGAACUGAGACAGGGUCCAGACUCCUGCGGGAGGGAGCAGUAGGGAAUCUUACGCAAUGGGCGAAAGCCUGACGGAGCAACGCCGCGUGAGUGAUGAAGGUCUUCGGAUCGUAAAACUCUGUUAUUAGGGAAGAACAAAUGUGUAAGUAACUAUGCACGUCUUGACGGUACCUAAUCAGAAAGCCACGGCUAACUACGUG